rnacentral:pre_miRNA from 1 species
UGAAAGACUUGAGUAGUGAGACGCAUGCCGGUUACCGUCAUGUGGUCAAGCCAUACUUCGGUCCCGGCGCCUCAUACCCAGUCUUUCGUG